rnacentral:sRNA from 1 species
GCUGCGGAUCUUAAAAGCCUAAGUAUUGUAUCCUUGUUAGAAGAUACAAAGACAAAUACUCAUAUGCACUUCGGCUAAACCAUCAAAGCUUUGAGAAGCAAGAAGAAGCUUGGUUAGUGUUUUUGAGUGAAAUAUGACUAGAUGUCAUGUGUAUGAUUGAGUAUAACAACUAGAACCGCAAUUGGAUUUUAAA